AGCUGGCGGAUGAAGACCAUGAGAGUCGUACGGAGAGUGGGGCAACUCACUCUCAGUGGCAAACGGGUAAGUAACGCGUGAAUAACCUGCCUUAGAGAAGGGGAUAACUGUCCGAAAGGAUAGCUAAUACCCUAUAUUGCCUUUUGUCACUAAGGCAAAAGGUGAAAGCGAGGCUGUCAAAGGCUUCGGCUCAAAGAGGGGUUCGCGACCUAGCAGGAGGUUGGUGGGGUAAUGGCCUACCAAGCCAAUGACGGGUAGCUGGUCUUAGAGGAUGAUCAACCACGGUGGGACUGAGACACGGCCCGCACCCCUACAGGGGGCAGCAGGGGGGAAUCGUGGGCAAUGGGAGCAAGCCUGACCCCGCAAUGCCGCGUGAGGGAAGAAGCCCUUCGGGGUGUAAACCUCUGUCAGAUGGGAAGAUGAGUCUAGGGGCUAAUACCUCCUGGUCUUGACGGUACCAUCAGAGGAAGGGACGGCUAGAUACGUGCCAGCAGCCGCGAGAAU
rnacentral:rRNA from 1 species